UUUACCACUGAGAUUUAAUUCCCAGCCCUAACAAUGACACACAAACAAGGAAAAAGUGCAUUCCUCUCUUCUUAAAAGGGCACUGGGGAGCUGAGGAGUCAACGUGAGCACACCCUCAUGCCAUUCAUUAGGUGACUGAUGUGGUUUGGAGUUGUGAAGAUGAAGACAAGCCAGGAUUUGGCUGUAGCUAUGUUCAGCUCUUCAUAAAAUGCCUGAAUAAUAUUGUCUGCAGACUAUAAGCUAUGUCUCAACAGGAGUGACAAGGCAUCACUGAGGGUAGAUGUCACCAGUAUUUACACUUCCUCUGUGAGGGACAAAUGUCAUGGAAACAGAUCUAGCCCUGGAGAAGAGCUGCAUAAUUCACCCAAUCAUUGCUAUAAGAAAAGCUGGAAACUUGAAGUUGACCUUUUGAUCUUCAGGCUAUAAG